rnacentral:rRNA from 1 species
AUGAACGCUAGCUACAGGCUUAACACAUGCAAGUCGAGGGGCAGCAUGAACUUAGCUUGCUAAGUUUGAUGGCGACCGGCGCACGGGUGAGUAACACGUAUCCAACCUGCCGAUGACUCGGGGAUAGCCUUUCGAAAGAAAGAUUAAUACCCGAUGGCAUAGUUCUUCCGCAUGGUAGAACUAUUAAAGAAUUUCGGUCAUCGAUGGGGAUGCGUUCCAUUAGGUUGUUGGCGGGGUAACGGCCCACCAAGCCUUCGAUGGAUAGGGGUUCUGAGAGGAAGGUCCCCCACAUUGGAACUGAGACACGGUCCAAACUCCUACGGGAGGCAGCAGUGAGGAAUAUUGGUCAAUGGACGAGAGUCUGAACCAGCCAAGUAGCGUGAAGGAUGACUGCCCUAUGGGUUGUAAACUUCUUUUAUACGGGAAUAAAGUGAGGCACGUGUGCCUUUUUGUAUGUACCGUAUGAAUAAGGAUCGGCUAACUCCGUGCCAGCAGCCGCGGUAAUACGGAGGAUCCGAGCGUUAUCCGGAUUUAUUGGGUUUAAAGGGAGCGUAGGCGGACGCUUAAGUCAGUUGUGAAAGUUUGCGGCUCAACCGUAAAAUUGCAGUUGAUACUGGGUGUCUUGAGUACAGUAGAGGCAGGCGGAAUUCGUGGUGUAGCGGUGAAAUGCUUAGAUAUCACGAAGAACUCCGAUUGCGAAGGCAGCCUGCUGGACUGUAACUGACGCUGAUGCUCGAAAGUGUGGGUAUCAAACAGGAUUAGAUACCCUGGUAGUCCACGCCGUAAACGAUGAGUACUAAGUGUUGGGUGUCAAAGCUCAGUGCUGCAGUUAACGCAAUAAGUACUCCGCCUGAGUAGUACGUUCGCAAGAAUGAAACUCAAAGGAAUUGACGGGGGCCCGCACAAGCGGAGGAACAUGUGGUUUAAUUCGAUGAUACGCGAGGAACCUUACCCGGGCUUGAAUUGCAACUGAAUGAUGUGGAGACAUGUCAGCCGCAAGGCAGUUGUGAAGGUGCUGCAUGGUUGUCGUCAGCUCGUGCCGUGAGGUGUCGGCUUAAGUGCCAUAACGAGCGCAACCCUUAUCGAUAGUUACCAUCAGGUUAUGCUGGGGACUCUGUCGAGACUGCCGUCGUAAGAUGUGAGGAAGGUGGGGAUGACGUCAAAUCAGCACGGCCCUUACGUCCGGGGCUACACACGUGUUACAAUGGGGGGUACAGAAGGCAGCUACACGGCGACGUGAUGCUAAUCCCUAAAGCCUCUCUCAGUUCGGAUUGGAGUCUGCAACCCGACUCCAUGAAGCUGGAUUCGCUAGUAAUCGCGCAUCAGCCACGGCGCGGUGAAUACGUUCCCGGGCCUUGUACACACCGCCCGUCAAGCCAUGAAAGCCGGGGGUACCUGAAGUGCGUAACCGCAAGGAGCGCCCUAGGGUAAAACUGGUGAUUGGGGCU